CGAGCUGUGAAGUUUUCGGAUGGAUACACUUAGUGGCGGACGGGUGAGUAACGCGUGGGUACCUGCCUCACACUGGGGGAUAACAGUUAGAAAUAGCUGCUAAUACCGCAUAAGUCCGCAUGGAAAAAACUCCGGUGGUGUGAGAUGGACCCGCGUCUGAUUAGCCAGUUGGCGGGGUAACGGCCCACCAAAGCGACGAUCAGUAGCCGGCCUGAGAGGGUGAACGGCCACAUUGGGACUGAGACACGGCCCAAACUCCUACGGGAGGCAGCAGUGGGGAAUAUUGCACAAUGGGGGAAACCCUGAUGCAGCGACGCCGCGUGAGUGAAGAAGUAUUUCGGUAUGUAAAGCUCUAUCAGCAGGGAAGAAGUGACGGUACCUGAAUAAGAAGCCCCGGCUAACUACGUGCCAGCAGCCGCGGUAAUACGUAGGGGGCAAGCGUUAUCCGGAUUUACUGGGUGUAAAGGGAGCGUAGACGGCAAGGCAAGUCUGAAGUGAAAGCCCGGUGCUUAACGCCGGGACUGCUUUGGAAACUGUUUAGCUGGAGUGCCGGAGAGGUAAGCGGAAUUCCUAGUGUAGCGGUGAAAUGCGUAGAUAUUAGGAAGAACACCAGUGGCGAAGGCGGCUUACUGGACGGU
rnacentral:rRNA from 1 species